UACGAACCGUCCAAACGUUAUUCGGAAUUACUGGGCUUAAAGGGUGCGUAGGCGGCCCGGUAAGUUGGGUGUGAAAUCCCUCGGCUCAACCGAGGAAUUGCGCCCAAAACUGCCGGGCUUGAGGGAGAUAGAGGUGAGCGGAACUUAGGGUGGAGCGGUGAAAUGCGUUGAUAUCCUAAGGAACACCGGUGGCGAAAGCGGCUCACUGGGUCUCUUCUGACGCUGAGGCACGAAAGCUAGGGGAGCGAACGGG
rnacentral:rRNA from 2 species